UACGUACUCCCUCCGUCCAGAAAUACUUGUCAUAGAAAUGGAUACAAAUGGAUGUAUUUAGAACUAAAAUACAUCUAGAUACAUUCAUUCCUCGGACAAGUAUUUCCGGACGGAGGGAGUACAUG
rnacentral:pre_miRNA from 1 species